rnacentral:rRNA from 1 species
UACGGAGGGUGCGAGCGUUGUCCGGAAUCAUUGGGCGUAAAGGGCGCGUAGGUGGCCCCUCAAGCGUGCGGUGAAAGUCAGGGGCUCAACCCCUGAUCGGCCGUGCGAACUGGGGAGCUUGAGCACUGUAGAGGCAGGCGGAAUUCCGGGUGUAGCGGUGGAAUGCGUAGAGAUCCGGAAGAACACCGGUGGCGAAGGCGGCCUGCUGGGGAGUUUUGCUGACACUGAGGCGCGACAGCGUGGGGAGCAAACAGG